rnacentral:rRNA from 1 species
AUACGGAGGAUCCGAGCGUUAUCCGGAUUUAUUGGGUUUAAAGGGUGCGCAGGCGGCCAUUUAAGUCAGCGGUUAAAUCGUGGGGCUCAACCCCAUUCUGCCGUUGAUACUGGGUGGCUUGAUUGCGGUCGAGGUUGGCGGAAUUCGUUGUGUGGCGGUGAAAUGCAUAGAUAUGACGAAGAACACCGAUUGCGUAGGCAGCUGGCCAGACCGCAAAUGACGCUCAUGCACGAAAGUGCGGGGAUCGAACAGGAUUAGAUACCCUGGUAGUCCGCACAGUAAACGAUGAAUACUUGUUUUCGGCGAUAUAAUGUCGGAGGCAAAGCGAAAGCGAUAAGUAUUCCACCUGGGGAGUACGCCGGCAACGGUGAAACUCAAAGGAAUUGACGGGG